rnacentral:rRNA from 1 species
UACGAAGGGGGCUAGCGUUGCUCGGAAUUACUGGGCGUAAAGCGCACGUAGGCGGCUUUCUAAGUCGGGGGUGAAAUCCUGGAGCUCAACUCCAGAACUGCCUUCGAUACUGGAGCUUGAGUCGGGAGAGGUGAGUGGAACUGCGAGUGUAGAGGUGAAAUUCGUAGAUAUUCGCAAGAACACCAGUGGCGAAGGCGGCUCACUGGCCCGGUACUGACGCUGAGGUGCGAAAGCGUGGGGAGCAACAGG